rnacentral:rRNA from 1 species
AUUGAACGCUGGCGGCAUGCCUUACACAUGCAAGUCGAACGGCAGCACGGGAGCAAUCAUGGUGGCGAGUGGCGAACGGGUGAGUAAUAUAGCGGAACGUGCCCAGUCGUGGGGGAUAACGUAGGGAAAGCUACGCUAAUACCGCAGAAGGUCUAGGGAUGAAAGCGGGGGAUCGCAAGGCCUCGCGAGCUAGGAGCGGCCGAUAUCAGUGUGGGGAGUUGGGGGGGAAAAGGCUCACCAAGCCGACGAUGUGUAGCUGGUCUGCGAGGACGACCAGCCACACUGGGACUGAAACACGGCCCAGACUCCUACGGGAGGCAGCAGUGGGGAGUUUUGGACAAUGGGCGCAAGCCUGAUCCAGCAAUGCCGCGUGCAGGAUGAAGGCCUUCGGGUUGUAAACUGCUUUUGUACGGAGCGAAAAGGCUUCCACUAAUACUGGGGGCUCAUGACGGUACCGUAAGAAUAAGCACCGGCUAACUACGUGCCAGCAGCCGCCGUAACAC